GUGCAGGAAGUCUUUGUAUCUCCAUUAAGGAUCAGAAGAACUUUUAACAAGAGCAAAUCUAAAAUGCAGAUUGUCGUUAGCUUAACUUGGCUGUAAAUAUUUUGCUCUAACUGACCAAUCAGAGGACAGAAAAUGCUAACAAAUGUGUGGGCCCUCUAGCUGCCCCCAAAUCGGAAAUAUUAUUGGUUGAAGAAAAUGCUCCUCACUAAUAUUGUUAGCUAACAUCAGCCAGUACUGCUGAUUCUGAAGGUCCUGGGCAGAUUUGAUUUACAUAGCAAUGCACUAAGGCUGAAAUCCGAUUGGACAAAAAAUAUAGAGACCACAUAAAUGUAAAAGAAGCAGCUCAGUAAUCAAGAGAAACGUUACAAAAUUAAGAGAAUUAAUUGUUUUUUGAAUAAAUUGAUAGAGCUGGAAAGAAGAAAAUUAAAGUUUAGAAGGCUUUGAAGGCCCUCGCAGCCCACCACUGGUCGUUACUAUGCAGUUGUUUAUCUCUUCUGUAAUGGCAGUGCACUGUCAUGAGGUGGGAUAUCCAGAAUGUAUGAGGACAUGCAAUGCUAUCUAUUUUUAUUUUCUUUUGAAUAAAUACUGGACUUUUCAGAUUGUUUUUAACACUUGUUUACACUAAAAAAAUAAGCAUUUUUUAAAAGUGUAGAUCUCUGAUUCGUAGAAAGACAGUUAGCAGGCAAGCAGUCAACUUCACAGCAUUAAAGCAGGAUAGUCAAAAAACAAAGAGAAAACACUGACAUACACAUCCAAGAAAUGUCUCAAGCUCCAAUGGAUAUCAGUAAUGUGGAACAAUUUUGUGAAGUUCAGCAGCAUGUGGAAAACAGAGACCUGGAACAGCUGAAUAUCUCUGAGGAAUCAGUACAUCGCUGUGACCACUGUGGAAAAGGUUUUAAGAGAUUUCAUAAUUUGAAAAGACACCUGCUUAUCCACACCGGCGAAAAGCCUUUCGUCUGCCAUCAGUGUGGGAAGCAGUUCCGCCAGAAAGGACAUUUGAAUUACCAUCUCGCCAUUCACACCGGCGAAAAGCCUUUCCUCUGCCAUCUGUGUGGGAAGCAAUUUUGCACGAAAGAACAUCUGAAUUACCAUCUACUCAUUCACACCGGCGAAAAGCCUUUCGCCUGCCAUCAGUGUGGAAAGCAAUUCCGCCAGAAAGGAGAUUUGAAUUGCCAUCUACCCAUUCACACCGGCGAAAAGCCUUUCGUCUGCCAUCAGUGUGGGAAAAGCUUUGGUCAUAGAUCUUCUCUGAAAAGUCAUCUACAUAUCCACACCAGAGUCCCCACAUGUGCAGGAGGUGUGGAAAAAGCUUCAGACCAUUGAAAUCUGUGCAACAUCAUCUGGAAAUUGACACAAGAGAAGAAAAACCUACCAUAGUGGAGGCUUCACUUCCUGUUAUGCUUUUCCUUAUCUGAGACCAAAGCUUAAUUUUAAUCUUUAAUAAAAUUCACUUGCAUUCAA